GAAGGGCGUUUGGUGGAUGCCUUGGCAGUAAGAGGCGAUGAAAGACGUGAUACCCUGCGAUAAGCUUGGGGGAGCCGGGAAUAGGCUUUGAUCCCAAGAUCUCUGAAUGGGGGAACCCACCUGAAAGUUUGUUAUAAUAGCCGCAAGGCUGCUUAUAAUGGGCUUAACCAGGUACUUAAGGACUGAAUACAUAGGUCUUUAAGAGCAAACCCGGGGAACUGAAACAUCUAAGUACCCGGAGGAAAGGACAUCAAUAGAGACUCCGUUAGUAGCGGCGAGCGAACGCGGACCAGCCGAGCCUGAUGAGUGACCAGAAUGCGUUGGGAAACGCAGCCAGAGCGGGUGACAGCCCCGUAUGGGAAGCUCUGAGGGACGUAUUAAGUAGGGCGGGACACGUGAAAUCCUGUUCGAAGACCGGAGGACCACCUCCGAAGGCUAAGUACUCCUUACUGACCGAUAGCGAACCAGUACCGUGAGGGAAAGGUGAAAAGCACCCCGGCGAGGGGAGUGAAACAGUACCUGAAACCGAACGCCUACAAUCAGUUGGAGGCCCCUUGAGGGCUGACAGCGUACCUUUUGUAUAAUGGGUCAUCGACUUGGUCUCACGAGCAAGCUUAAGCCGCUAGGCGGAGGCGCAGCGAAAGCGAGUCUUAAUAGGGCGCAUGAGUUCGUGGGAUCAGACCCGAAACCGAGUGAUCUAGGCAUGGCCAGGCUGAAGAUGCGGUAACACGCAUUGGAGGGCCGAACCCACAUCCGUUGAAAAGGAUCGGGAUGAGCUGUGCCUAGGGGUGAAAGGCCAAUCAAACUCGGAGAUAGCUGGUUCUCUGCGAAAUCUAUUUAGGUAGAGCGUCAUCCGAAUACCCCGGGGGGUAGAGCACUGGAUGGGUAAUGGGGCCCCACAGGCUUACUGAUCCUAACCAAACUCCGAAUACCCGGGAGUACUAGAUGGCAGACACACGGCGGAUGCUAACGUCCGUCGUGGAGAGGGAAACAACCCUGACCUCCGGCUAAGGCCCCCAAUUCAUGGCUAAGUGGGAAAGCAGGUGAGACGUCCAAAACAACCAGGAGGUUGGCUUAGAAGCAGCCAUCCUUUAAAGAUAGCGUAACAGCUCACUGGUCUAAUUAAGAUGUCUUGCGGCGAAGAUGUAACGGGGCUCAAGCCAUGAGCCGAAGCCGAGGAUGCACAUAGUGCAUGGUAGCAGAGCGUAGUGUGACAUAGUCUCAUUCCUCCUUAACUCCUUCGGGAGUAUUGGAGGAGAGAGGCUUUCGAUGAAGCCGGGGCGUGAGCCAUCCGGUGGAGAGAUCACUAGCGAGAAUGAUGACAUGAGUAGCGACAAAGAGUGUGAGAGACACUCUCGCCGAAAGUCCAAGGGUUCCUGCUUAAAGCUAAUCUGAGCAGGGUAAGCCGGCCCCUAAGCCGAGGCCGAAAGGCGUAGGCGAUGGGAACCACGUUAAUAUUCGUGGGCCAGGAGGAUG
rnacentral:rRNA from 1 species